GUGGGUGUAGCUCAGCUUGGUAGAGCACAGGGUUGUGGCCCCUGCGGCCGAGGGUUCGAAUCCCUUCACUCACCCCA
rnacentral:tRNA from 1 species